GUAGUCAUAUGCUUGUCUCAAAGAUUAAGCCAUGCAUGUCUAAGUAUAAGCAAUUAUACAGCGAAACUGCGAAUGGCUCAUUAUAUAAGUUAUCGUUUAUUUGAUAGUACCUUACUACUUGGAUAACCGUGGUAAUUCUAGAGCUAAUACAUGCUAAAAAUCCCGACUUCGGAAGGGAUGUAUUUAUUAGAUUAAAAACCAAUGCCCUCCGGGGCUCACUGGUGAUUCAUGAUAACUUCUCGAAUCGCAUGGCCUUGCGCCGGCGAUGGUUCAUUCAAAUUUCUUCCCUAUCAACUUUCGAUGUUUGGGUAUUGGCCAAACAUGGUUGCAACGGGUAACGGGGAAU
rnacentral:rRNA from 1 species